rnacentral:rRNA from 1 species
GACGAACGCUGGCGGCGUGCUUAACACAUGCAAGUCGAACGGUGAAGCGCCUUCCUUUUUGGUGGGUGUGGAUGAGUGGCGAACGGGUGAGUAACACGUGAGUAACCUGCCUCCUUCUUCUGGAUAACCGCAUGAAAGUGUGGCUAAUACGGGAUAUUCUGGGUCUGUCGCAUGAUGGGUCUGGGAAAGAUUUUGUUUCGGUGGGGGAUGGGCUCGCGGCCUAUCAGCUUGUUGGUGGGGUGAUGGCCUACCAAGGCGGUGACGGGUAGCCGGCCUGAGAGGGUGGACGGUCACACUGGGACUGAGACACGGCCCAGACUCCUACGGGAGGCAGCAGGGGGGAAUAUUGCACAAUGGGCGCAAGCCUGAUGCAGCGACGCCGCGUGAGGGAUGGAGGCCGUCGGGUUGUGAACCUCUUUCGCCAGUGAAGCAGGCCUGCCUCGUUUGUGGGUGGGUUGACGGUAGCUGGAUAAGAAGCGCCGGCUAACUACGUG